GCCCUUUCGCUGCGGCUCGCUUCACCCUAUAUUGGGAGCGUUCCGCAAGGAACUAUGGUGAUAAACGCGCCCGUAAUAAGCGGAUCGGACCCGGGGGCGGUACCCGGCGGCUCCACCAGAACCCUCGUUGGGGGACCAUGGGGCCGAAACAGGAUCGACGGACGUCUAAAGGGGUUAGCUUUCACCCGGCACGAUGCCACCGUUAUCGGCUCAAAUCGCAUAGUUGCCAACGACAACUACGCUCCGGUGCGUCUCGCCGCGUAAUGCGGUGAGGUUUACCGAAACCUGAAGCCCAGGGCCCUAGCAGGUCCUGGCGGGGUCCGCAGGCACCUGGCAACAGAAGCCUGCACC
rnacentral:tmRNA from 1 species